rnacentral:rRNA from 1 species
AGAGUUUGAUCCUGGCUCAGGACGAACGCUGGCGGCGUGCCUAAUACAUGCAAGUCGAACGCUUCUUUUUCCACCGGAGCUUGCUCCACCGGAAAAAGAGGAGUGGCGAACGGGUGAGUAACACGUGGGUAACCUGCCCAUCAGAAGGGGAUAACACUUGGAAACAGGUGCUAAUACCGUAUAACAAUCGAAACCGCAUGGUUUUGAUUUGAAAGGCGCUUUCGGGUGUCGCUGAUGGAUGGACCCGCGGUGCAUUAGCUAGUUGGUGAGGUAACGGCUCACCAAGGCGACGAUGCAUAGCCGACCUGAGAGGGUGAUCGGCCACAUUGGGACUGAGACACGGCCCAAACUCCUACGGGAGGCAGCAGUAGGGAAUCUUCGGCAAUGGACGAAAGUCUGACCGAGCAACGCCGCGUGAGUGAAGAAGGUUUUCGGAUCGUAAAACUCUGUUGUUAGAGAAGAACAAGGAUGAGAGUAACUGUUCAUCCCUUGACGGUAUCUAACCAGAAAGCCACGGCUAACUACGUGCCAGCAGCCGCGGUAAUACGUAGGUGGCAAGCGUUGUCCGGAUUUAUUGGGCGUAAAGCGAGCGCAGGCGGUUUCUUAAGUCUGAUGUGAAAGCCCCCGGCUCAACCGGGGAGGGUCAUUGGAAACUGGGAGACUUGAGUGCAGAAGAGGAGAGUGGAAUUCCAUGUGUAGCGGUGAAAUGCGUAGAUAUAUGGAGGAACACCAGUGGCGAAGGCGGCUCUCUGGUCUGUAACUGACGCUGAGGCUCGAAAGCGUGGGGAGCAAACAGGAUUAGAUACCCUGGUAGUCCACGCCGUAAACGAUGAGUGCUAAGUGUUGGAGGGUUUCCGCCCUUCAGUGCUGCAGCUAACGCAUUAAGCACUCCGCCUGGGGGAGUACGACCGCAAGGUUGAAACUCAAAGGAAUUGACGGGGGCCCGCACAAGCGGUGGAGCAUGUGGUUUAAUUCGAAGCAACGCGAAGAACCUUACCAGGUCUUGACAUCCUUUGACCACUCUAGAGAUAGAGCUUCCCCUUCGGGGGCAAAGUGACAGGUGGUGCAUGGUUGUCGUCAGCUCGUGUCGUGAGAUGUUGGGUUAAGUCCCGCAACGAGCGCAACCCUUAUUGUUAGUUGCCAUCAUUUAGUUGGGCACUCUAGCAAGACUGCCGGUGACAAACCGGAGGAAGGUGGGGAUGACGUCAAAUCAUCAUGCCCCUUAUGACCUGGGCUACACACGUGCUACAAUGGGAAGUACAACGAGUCGCAAAGUCGCGAGGCUAAGCUAAUCUCUUAAAGCUUCUCUCAGUUCGGAUUGUAGGCUGCAACUCGCCUACAUGAAGCCGGAAUCGCUAGUAAUCGCGGAUCAGCACGCCGCGGUGAAUACGUUCCCGGGCCUUGCACACACCGCCCGUCA